rnacentral:rRNA from 1 species
CCUACGGGUGGCAGCAGUGAGGAAUAUUGGUCAAUGGGAGGAAUCCUGAACCAGCCAUGCCGCGUGCAGGACGACGGCUCUACGAGUUGUAAACUGCUUUUCUCAGGGACGAAGAAAGUGACGGUACCUGAGGAAUAAGCCACGGCUAACUACGUGCCAUCAGCCGCGGUAAUACGUAGGUGGCAAGCGUUAUCCGGAUUUAUUGGGGGUAAAGGGCGUGUAGGCGGGAGCGCAAGUCAGAUGUGAAAACUCAGGGCUCAACCCUGAGCCUGCAUUUGAAACUGUGUUUCUUGAGUGCUGGAGAGGCAAUCGGAAUUCCGUGUGUAGCGGUGAAAUGCGUAGAUAUACGGAGGAACACCAGUGGCGAAGGCGGAUUGCUGGACAGUAACUGACGCUGAGGCGCGAAAGCGUGGGGAGCAAACAGGAUUAGAUACCCCAGUAGUC